rnacentral:rRNA from 1 species
AAACAACCAGGAUGUUGGCUUAGAGGCAGCCACUCGUUCAAAGAGUGCGUAAUAGCUCACUGGUCGAGUGAUCUUGCGCGGAAAAUUUAACGGGGCUAAGCAUGUAACCGAAGCUUGGGAUUCACGAGAAAUUGUGAGUGGUAGGGGAGCGUCGAAUACGGGGUGAAGUCGCACCGGAAGGAGCGGUGGACUGUAUUCGAGUGAGAAUGCCGGAAUGAGUAGCGAGAAUUAUGUGGGAAUCAUAAUGGCCGAAAAUCUAAGGUUUCUUGGGGAAGGUUCGUCCGCCCAAGGUUAGUCGGGAGCUAAGCUCAGGCCGAAAGGCGUAGGCGAUGCACAUACGGUAGAAAUUCCGUAGCCGGCGUAACUGUUAAACAUACUGACACAUGAAAGUAGCUCUACCGGGCGUUGGUUGCCCCGGGCGUAAGCGAGCCGAAUGAGGCGAAGUGAGUGAAUUUUGUGGCGAGAAAAGGUAUGUGAAUUGGUUGCGCUGCCCGUACCGCAAACCGACACAGGUAGAUGAGGAGAAGAUCCUAAGGCCAUCGGGAGAAGGGUUGUUAAGGAACUAGGCAAAUUGACCCCGUAACUUCGGGAGAAGGGGUGCCUACGAAAGUAGGUCGCAGAGAAUAGGCCCAAGCAACUGUUUACCAAAAACACAGGUCUCUGCUAAAUCGAAAGAUGACGUAUAGGGGCUGACGCCUGCCCGGUGCUGGAAGGUUAAGAGGAGAGCUUAGGGAAACCGAAGGUUCGAAUUGAAGCCCCAGUAAACGGCGGCCGUAACUAUAACGGUCCUAAGGUAGCGAAAUUCCUUGUCAGGUAAGUUCUGACCCGCACGAAAGGCGUAAUGAUUUGGGCACUGUCUCAACAGCCCGCCCGGCGAAAUUGUAGUACCGGUGAAGAUGCCGGUUACCCGCAACUAGACGGAAAGACCCCAUGGAGCUUUACUGCAGCUUAAUACUGAGAUUCGGUAAAUCAUGUACAGGAUAGGUGGGAGACUGAGAAAUACGGCCGUCAGGUCGUGUGGAGUCAUCCUUGGGAUACCACCCUUGGUUUGCUGGGUUUCUAACCUGCGGCCGUGAAUCCGGUCGGGGGACACUGUUAGGCGGGCAGUUUGACUGGGGCGGUCGCCUCCAAAAGAGUAACGGAGGCGCUCAAAGGUUCGUUCAGCACGGACGGAAAUCGUGCAUUGAGUGUAAACGCAUAAACGAGCCUAACUGCGAGACCGACGGGUCGAGCAGUAACGAAAGUUGGAGUUAGUGAUCCGGUGGUAUGUGAGUGGAAAUGCCAUCGCUCAACGGAUAAAAGCUACCCUGGGGAUAACAGGCUGAUCUCCCCCAAG